AUUGAACGCUGGCGGCAGGCCUAAUACAUGCAAGUAGAACGCAGUUGCGAACGGGUGAGUAACGCGUAGGUAACUGCCUCAUAGCGGGGGAUAACGAUUGGAAACGAUAGCUAAUACCGCAUACUGUGAGAUGGACCUGCGUUGUAUUAGCUAGUUGGUGAGGUAAAGGCUCACCAAGGCGACGAUACAUAGCGGACGUGAGAGGGUGAGCGGCCCGACCGUGACUGAGACACGGCCCAGACUCCUACGGGAGGCAGAAGUAGGGAAUCUGCGGCAAUGGACGGAAGUCUGACCGAGCAACGCGGCGUGAGUGAAGAAGGUUUUCGGAUCGUAAAGCUCUGUUGUGAGAGAAGCGGUAACUAAUCAGAAAGGGACGGCUAACUACGUGCCAGCAGCCGCGGUAAUAC
rnacentral:rRNA from 1 species